AUUGAACGCUGGCGGCAGGCCUAACACAUGCAAGUCGAGCGGAGCGGCGGACGGGUGAGUGAUGCCAAUGAAUCUGCCUGGUAGUGGGGGAUAACGUCCGGAAACGGGCGCUAAUACUGCAUACUAUCAGAUGAGCCUAGGUCGGAUUGGCUAGUUGGUGGGGUAGAGGCCUACCAGGGCGACGAUCCGUAACUGGUCUGAGAGGAUGAUCAGUCACACUGGAACUGAGACACGGUCCAGACUCUUACGGGAGGCAGCAGUGGGGAAUAUUGGACAAUGGGCGAAAGCCUGAUCCAGCCAUGCCGCGUGUGUGAAGAAGGUCUUCGGAUUGUAAAGCACUUUAAGUUGGGAGGCGUUACCAGCAGAAUAAGCACCGGCUAACUUCGUGCCAGCAGCCGCGGUAUUAC
rnacentral:rRNA from 1 species